ensembl:lncRNA
UGGGGUCUAAAAUGAGCACAGCGUACACCUGUGGGUGUGGGAGGGGCUACUGGAAAUAAUCAUCAAUGAUGGCAGAUUUCCAGAUUUAAUUGAUUUUCAGUAACAACUCCAAUUUGUGCUAACUGUGCUGCUAACAGCUGAUUCUUAAAAGUAAUUUAAUUCAAGUGUUGACCGAUUGGGUUCACAUUCACAAGACUGAGACACCGAAAAAGAAAAAAACUAAACAAGACUUCUCCAUGUCAGCAACAGAUUUGAUAAUCUCAGCAGACGCCCUGAUGUGAAUUUAAGAGGACAUCAGAGCAACAUGAAGUGGUUACAGCAGGCUCAAAGUGUUUAACACAGUUGUCAAUACUAAUUAUUUUAAAGAGCUGAAAUAUAUUUUUUGGCCUUUUUAAAGAGUAACUUCUUUCUCCUUUGACCUUGUAAAAUACUUAAUUUCUUCUUGAAAUGGCAAUUUUUGACUUCAUGGGGGGUUUUUCACUUGUAAUAUUUUGAUCCUUUUCCUUGUAAAAUUAAAACUUUAGUCUCAUAACUUUUUCCGAUUCCCAUCAAAUCAAAGCUUCUUUCUCAAAGUAUCAGUGGUCCAAACACUCCAGGUGUAAAAAUCGAAAUAACAAGCACUUGUAGUUGCAGCUGUAGCGGCCAGCUGGCAGAGGAGAGGGACGGGGACGCCUGCUUAUUGAUACAACUCAAACUCACACUUCUCCCUCCUUUACCUCGAACCUUCGCUCCCCUCUGAACGUUAGCUGCCAGUGACAUCGCUGAUGAUAAAUAGAAAAACAUAAAGUGGAUUCCAUUCGUUUGAGUCCGUUCAGCGUAUCUGACCACCUCUGUCCACUCUGGGCUCUGUAUUGCACUCAGACAAUCUGUUUUCUGUUCUUUUUUAAGAACCAUGUAUCCUCUGCUGAAUUGAGCUCGGUGCAAACUGUUGGUCAUAACCCUUUAAAUCUGUACCAGUGUCUCUUUACAGAGGCGGCACGCUUUCAGCUUUUAAAUAACACACACACAGAAGCUGGUGGGAAGAAGUGUGUGUGUGUGUGUGUGUGUGUGUGUGUGAGGGCAGCAUUGCAUUGAUACUGUAGCAAGAUGAACAAACAGGUUUGGAAGAGUUCCUGCUGACCACACAUUCAAAAAUGAGGUGUUCUUAUUUUUUUAUUCACAUGAUUUUGUGUUGUUUAUUGACGGAACAUAUUGUGUUUGCCUACCAUUAACCCAGCUGCUGCUGCAAGAGACAUGCAGCUGCUUAACCCUGAAGAAUGAUCAGAAUUUCUGCAGCAACUCCUCCUAAAACAUGCUCCGACGUUCAUCUCAGUAACACACACUUCUCGUGCCUUUCUUUUAAACAGAAUCUCUCAGCGCAGGCUUGAAAAAAGUAGCUCCUCUGACUAUGUUGAACCUCGUUUAGCAAGAACAACCUCCAUGUUUCCUAAUGCUGUUUCUGAUGGUGCCUUCACACCAAAAGCAAAGAAAAAUUUAAUGCUGGACAAACGUUUCUGCAAAACAUCUUCUAGAACUGGCUGUGUUUUCAUCACAUACCGUGAGGCUUCAUAUUUCUGUGAUGUCAGCAUUAAACAGCAGUCUUCUCGCUAAAACACCUCAGGCUAAAAUCAGAUUUUUUUUUGUUAUUAUUUUGCCAUAUCAACCUCAUUGUGGACUGCUGCACUGAUAUUUUCUUCUAAAUGUGUAGAAGAGAAAAAUACCAACAUUUAUUUCAUACUUUAGUAGUGGAAUAAAAGUACUUGGUUACAUCAGAGCCCUUGUAGAUUUAAGUCUUGGCACCUCUUUAAUAAUCCAUUUAAUUUGAAGUCCCCAUCUGAAUUUGCUUUUCCCCAGAUAUAAAAACGAGUCACCAGGCAAGACAAAUAAACACUGCUUUAAAACUUUGGGGACUUCGCCCUGUUACCCUGCAGUUAUCUUUGUACUGUGCAUGCAGCAUGUAGCAUGCAUGCAGCAUGCAUCUGUGUCCAAUAGGAAAAACAUAUGUAGCUCUAGGCAGAUGACCGGCCCUCCUUAGUUUGGUUCAACUGGAUGUUUCUUCCUGUUAAAAAGGAAAUUUUCCUUCCCACCAUCGUUUGUUUGCUCAUAGGGAAUUAACAGAUUGCUGGAGUUUUCUCUCUAAUAUUGUCGGGUUUUAACAGUAUAAAGCAACUUGAGGUGACUGUUAAGAUUUAUUCAUCAUGCCCUCUGUAGUGGACAAAAGUUAAACUGAAAGAUACUUUUCCCCCCUCGGAUAUAGAUGAAACACAACUUUGUAAAUUGUUGAUUGGCUCUAUGGGCUUAGGAGCAGAAUUCAUAACACUCACAUUUCUGUUUCUAUAUUCUCUGAAUGCCGUCACGUUCCUGGAUGUCAUAUCUGGUUACGUUGUAGCUGAAUGAGAAAUUAUCCAAAAAAAGAGAGACUGAUGAGAAGAGAGAGGGGAAAAAACAAACACCUUCAUUGCAUUAUUGUCGUACGUUUCUUCUUCAGGGCAUCCAGCAGCCAAAACCAUGUUGCUCCCUCCACUGUGCUUCAGUUGGGAUGAUUUGUUGAAUGUUGAAUUGUUGAAGAUGUUUUACACUUUUUUUGUUUUUCGUAAACAGCAUCUAUCUGUUAAAAGAUUUCUUAAUUGCUGACAUUGGACACUUUAAACAAAGGUUUUAGUCAUGUUAGAUGUGUUUCUGUGUUCGGUUUUGUAGACAGUUUGUCUUAAAUGUCAGUCAGCAAGCUGCGAUUGAAGAAAGGGGGGAAAACCCCAUCGUCAGUUUGUGCCUUUUAAUAGGAGCUGCAUCUCUACAAACCAUACACCGGCUCCAUACAGAAACACCUGAAAUUACGAGUUUGUGUGUGUUACUUCAGUCACACCGCGUUUGUCUGCAAUUGUGACUGAGAUGAAAGUCGGAGCACGUUUUGAGGAGUGGGUGCAGAAGUCGUGCUGUUUCUUACGGGUUAAUCACUGUUGUCCUGCAGCCGUGGUCCUGCCCGCGCCAACGGCCCCCUCCCCCCCCCAAAGUUAAGUGUACAUGAGGGUGCAGCGUAUGUAUAUACAGUGAAAAAGAAAGUUUAUUUUUUAAAACUUGUAAAUUUUUUUGAGCAAUCUGAUGUUUGAAAAUGUUUUAUUUUUAUGAUGGGUGGGCGGGUGUGAAGCUUUGAGAAGCGCGUGCCCUGGGUAAACCGGCAGGAAGCGCGCACGAGACAGAGCCUCGCACCUUCCGGCUUUCGGAGCUGGCUGUAAAGACAAACAAACGAAAGUAAGAGAGAGGAAAGGGAAAAUGGGGGAACUCUUUAAGGGCAUUGGCAAUAAGCUAUACCGUGUGUUGCAGCUAUCUGUACAGAAACACUUCAUUAGUUUCUUUUUUUUUAGAUUCCAAACUCGUGCAGCCUCACACAGCAGCUGCUUCAGACUCGGAAAAAAACGAAAAACAAGGAAUGUUCUAAAUAUGUUUUCUCUCUUUGGUUGUCGUCUGAGAUUCGUUUUUAAAAACCAAAUGUAAAUAGAGUUGUAAAUACGGUGCUCUUUCUCUUUAUCUAGAACAGCCGAGUGAACCUUUUGGUGCAUAGCUGUACAGUAAUCUAGCCUUAUGAUAAUUACUGUAGUAAAACCGUAUGGGUGUCUCAGCUAAAAAUAAAGCUGCGUGAGGAAAAACGAUCCGAUUCUGUUCAUACCGUCGAGUCUGUUUGACUGUUGUCUUACUCAGCUGUAUCCAGGUGAAUGACGUGCAUGUGUUUCAAUGUUUGACAUUCAAUGACACUGAGGAGAGAAUCAGGCAGAAAUGUAACCGGACCAAAAAGCAACAGAAGAAGAAGAAAAUGGUUGAGUUGGAACUGACAAAUUUUCAGUGUAUUAUUCUGUAGUUGAUACCUGUUGUCAGAUGUUACAUAUAGCUAUGGUAAUAUCAAAAAAUAAAAUGUGGG